rnacentral:snRNA from 1 species
AUCGCUUCUCGGCCUUUUGGCUAAGAUCAAGUGUAGUAAAUACCCUUUGUUCUCCCUGCAUGACCUACAAUAAUAAUGUGCUUCGUGUUGAUAUUUACUGCUGUGUUGCUGACAAUUGCCUGAAAGAGAAGUUGGGGUGCUUCACUGGGCUGGCAAAAGCU